rnacentral:tRNA from 1 species
GCAAUUAGCUCAACUGGAUAGAGUGUCUGGCUUCGAACCAGAAGGUUACGGGUUCGACUCCUGUAUUGCC